rnacentral:rRNA from 1 species
CCUACGGGGGGCAGCAGUGGGGAAUAUUGGACAAUGGGGGGAACCCUGAUCCAGCCAUGCCGCGUGUGUGAAGAAUGCCCUCGGGUUGUAAAGCACUUUCAGUGAGGAAGAACGCCUGGUGGUUAAUACCCAUCAGGAAAGACAUCACUCACAGAAGAAGCACCGGCUAACUCCGUGCCAGCAGCCGCGGUAAUACGGAGGGUGCGAGCGUUAAUCGGAAUUACUGGGCGUAAAGCGCGCGUAGGUGGCUUGAUAAGCCGGUUGUGAAAGCCCCGGGCUCAACCUGGGAACGGCAUCCGGAACUGUCAAGCUAGAGUGCAGGAGAGGAAGGUAGAAUUCCCGGUGUAGCGGUGAAAUGCGUAGAGAUCGGGAGGAAUACCAGUGGCGAAGGCGGCCUUCUGGACUGACACUGACACUGAGGUGCGAAAGCGUGGGUAGCAAACAGGAUUAGAUACCCCUGUAGUC